AUUAUGCGUUUGUUUGCACGUUGUUAUGGCAUUCGUUUUCUUUUGUUUCAAUUUGUAUCAAUAAUUGUUACUAAUUGAGCUCAAUUAAUUUAAUUUUCCUACUAAUCUUUUGGACGUCUGAUUAUCACCGCUGGAAUCAAAUCCUCGUUUAAAUAGUCUCGAUUAAUAUCUGACUUUUAGAUCAAAGGAUAGGAUUCGGCUCAAUUUUUUACCAUAAUUUUAUUCAACUUGGUGCAAUAGUCACAUGGAGACGUGAACUCAACGCUAUUCGAUAAUAUCUACCAUUUAAGGAUAGGUUGAAUGUACCAUUACAUCACAGCGUAUCAUCUAACAAUGAACAUACAACAAUCAACAAUUUAUAAGGAAAAACAUGUUACUAUGGACGGGGACGAUUAGCACUUCAUUAAAAUCCAAAAGUCCAAAGGAAAUAUUUGCUCAAAUUUCUCACCCACCAUACACCAAAACAAUUGGACAAAAUUGGAAAUGAAUUGAACAAUUGCAAUAAAAUUUAAAAUCUCAGAUGAGAUGGAUGACGAACUGGAAAUGGAAGUUUUAUCUGGAUUAGAAAAUUAAAUCCCAUCAGAUGUUGGAGCAUUUUCUGCAUGAGAUCUCUACAAAGAAACUGGAGAUUCAGUUUUUCUUAAAGUUAUCGCUAUAAAUAUAUUGAGAUGUAUUCUAAUCUCAAUUAGUUCUAAUCCAUAUUGUUCAUAUUAGAUAUAAAUGCAGUACUUCAGGGUGGACUAGAUAAUUUACAUCUUAACAAGUUGCCUACUCAUAUUGAAUUGGUUUCUGUAGGAACACAGAAAAGGCAUGAAUUACAAGCUCAAAAGUAAUGGAGGUAAAAUUACUUGAGCUGGUUUAGUUUUGUAUUUUUACCGAUUAAUUUAAAUAAAAUCUUUAAUGAUAACCAUUAGCAGUAGCAAUAAAAUAUUAACUAAAAAAAUUCAUUCAGUUACCUUGACCCUUACCUUUUAUUACUUUGAAUCAUUUUCCUUCUGAAAAAAGCAUCAGUAUUAUGUUGAAAGUCACGAAACAGAUUUGCAUCUUGGAGAGACGAGAACAAUUAACUAUUAACAAAUUUUACUUUCACAUUAAAUUUAUGUACAUUUAUUUUGUCGAGUAACAAUUAUUAUGUUAUUACAUUAAAGAAAGCCAAACAUAACAAAAAAACAUUAAU